CGGGCUCUCGUGCACGGCACAGCCUAUUUUUCUCCCCGCCGCUCCCGUGACCCGUCUAUCUGGGCUGGCUUGGCAGACAGCUCAGGUUCCUGAAUUGGUCAGGGUUUUUCUUCCUCUUUUUUAGUGCAUAAAUUGUUUUUAGGUGCGUUUUUGAAUUUCAUAUAACCUUGACGGACGGCAAAUACCAUUAUUUAAUAAAAGAUGGAAGACCCAAAAGAACGGACGCGACAACAAGAAUUUCAAGAAUCGGUCAGAGGCUGGAUGAGACAGGGGGACCAAGCAAGAGUGCAGGAAACUGCAACAAAGAGAAGACAAACACAGAAAACCAAUGACUUCAGACAACUUGGAAAGAAGCCGAGAAGAAGUGGUGCCAGGCUGCAGGGGAGUGGAGCUACAGGAAUUGUGAGCCAAGGAGAUGUGAACUGGGAGACCUCAGUUGCCUGGAGAGAUCCAGGGGCAGGUGUCAAGGUGGCAACGGUCAGAACAUCACUGAGAAAGAAACCCCUAACUGCAUCCCAAAAAAGGAGGAAGAUCAGCCCUUCUGGAUUUAGGGGGAAAGGUGAGGGUUUUUACCUUCAUCUUGUUAUAUAUCAUUUUAUCUGUAUUCGUUUAGGCAGUACUUGGGUAGACAUGAUAGUACUGUUUUCUAGUGUGAAAGAACAUGAGUUUGAUCUCAGCUCAGUAAGUUUAUUACAGUUUUUUACCACAAUCCAAAAACAUGUGUUUGGUGCUGUUGUAGCUGGAGACUGUUAAUCAUAUAAAGUAUGAUUAUGGUUAUUGUCAGCAUUUAAGAUUAUAUUUUAAUAAUGUGGGUCAUAAUUUUAUAUAUACAAUUGUACAUUAAUACUAAUUCUCCAUGCACCUACUGGUGUAUUGUAUGCUGCUUAAAAUGGUGUUACUAGACAAACUAUCUGAAAAUUGUCUGCAUCUCUAUCUUUCCAGCUGUUGGUGUAAUGCACUUUUACUUUCUCUGACUUUUAUGACACUUUAUAUAUAUAAUAUAUAUACACACUGUCAUUUUGUUUCUUUAUGGUUCAGUGCUUCUUUAGUGGGGAUGUAGUGGCACAGCAGGUUAAACUGGUGUCUCAUGACUCCUGAGCUGCUUGGCGGGGGGGUUGUAGGGUUUGCAUGUUUCUCCCAGCAUUUGCAGCCCUCCCAGACAUGCAUGGAAGAAGGCACAGUGGCAAAGCACUUCUGUUCCUCCCUUGCCUUGGAAACCGCUAAUGUAGUUAAGAGUCCAAAUCAACUCAAUGGCACUUUCAUCUAUUUACUACUUAUUUUUAUAGUACUGU
rnacentral:lncRNA from 1 species